UGUGAGCUCGAUGAGUAGGGCGGGACACGUGGUAUCCUGUCUGAAUAUGGGGGGACCAUCCUCCAAGGCUAAAUACUCCUGACUGACCGAUAGUGAACCAGUACCGUGAGGGAAAGGCGAAAAGAACCCCGGCGAGGGGAGUGAAAAAGAACCUGAAACCGUGUACGUACAAGCAGUGGGAGCACGCUUAGGCGUGUGACUGCGUACCUUUUGUAUAAUGGGUCAGCGACUUAUAUUCUGUAGCAAGGUUAACCGAAUAGGGGAGCCGAAGGGAAACCGAGUCUUAACUGGGCGUUAAGUUGCAGGGUAUAGACCCGAAACCCGGUGAUCUAGCCAUGGGCAGGUUGAAGGUUGGGUAACACUAACUGGAGGACCGAACCGACUAAUGUUGAAAAAUUAGCGGAUGACUUGUGGCUGGGGGUGAAAGGCCAAUCAAACCGGGAGAUAGCUGGUUCUCCCCGAAAGCUAUUUAGGUAGCGCCUCGUGAAUUCAUCUCCGGGGGUAGAGCACUGUUUCGGCAAGGGGGUCAUCCCGACUUACCAACCCGAUGCAAACUGCGAAUACCGGAGAAUGUUAUCACGGGAGACACACGGCGGGUGCUAACGUCCGUCGUGAAGAGGGAAACAACCCAGACCGCCAGCUAAGGUCCCAAAGUCAUGGUUAAGUGGGAAACGAUGUGGGAAGGCCCAGACAGCCAGGAUGUUGGCUUAGAAGCAGCCAUCAUUUAAAGAAAGCGUAAUAGCUCACUGGUCGAGUCGGCCUGCGCGGAAGAUGUAACGGGGCUAAACCAUGCACCGAAGCUGCGGCAGCGACGCUGAUGCGUUGUUGGGUAGGGGAGCGUUCUGUAAGCCUGUGAAGGUGUGCUGUGAGGCAUGCUGGAGGUAUCAGAAGUGCGAAUGCUGACAUAAGUAACGAUAAAGCGGGUGAAAAGCCCGCUCGCCGGAAGACCAAGGGUUCCUGUCCAACGUUAAUCGGGGCAGGGUGAGUCGACCCCUAAGGCGAGGCCGAAAGGCGUAGUCGAUGGGAAACAGGUUAAUAUUCCUGUACUUGGUGUUACUGCGAAGGGGGGACGGAGAAGGCUAUGUUGGCCGGGCGACGGUUGUCCCGGUUUAAGCGUGUAGGCUGGUUUUCCAGGCAAAUCCGGAAAAUCAAGGCUGAGGCGUGAUGACGAGGCACUACGGUGCUGAAGCAACAAAUGCCCUGCUUCCAGGAAAAGCCUCUAAGCAUCAGGUAACAUCAAAUCGUACCCCAAACCGACACAGGUGGUCAGGUAGAGAAUACCAAGGCGCUUGAGAGAACUCGGGUGAAGGAACUAGGCAAAAUGGUGCCGUAACUUCGGGAGAAGGCACGCUGAUAUGUAGGUGAAGCGACUUGCUCGUGGAGCUGAAAUCAGUCGAAGAUACCAGCUGGCUGCAACUGUUUAUUAAAAACACAGCACUGUGCAAACACGAAAGUGGACGUAUACGGUGUGACGCCUGCCCGGUGCCGGAAGGUUAAUUGAUGGGGUUAGCGCAAGCGAAGCUCUUGAUCGAAGCCCCGGUAAACGGCGGCCGUAACUAUAACGGUCCUAAGGUAGCGAAAUUCCUUGUCGGGUAAGUUCCGACCUGCACGAAUGGCGUAAUGAUGGCCAGGCUGUCUCCACCCGAGACUCAGUGAAAUUGAACUCGCUGUGAAGAUGCAGUGUACCCGCGGCAAGACGGAAAGACCCCGUGAACCUUUACUAUAGCUUGACACUGAACAUUGAGCCUUGAUGUGUAGGAUAGGUGGGAGGCUUUGAAGUGUGGACGCCAGUCUGCAUGGAGCCGACCUUGAAAUACCACCCUUUAAUGUUUGAUGUUCUAACGUGGACCCGUAAUCCGGGUUGCGGACAGUGUCUGGUGGGUAGUUUGACUGGGGCGGUCUCCUCCUAAAGAGUAACGGAGGAGCACGAAGGUUGGCUAAUCCUGGUCGGACAUCAGGAGGUUAGUGCAAUGGCAUAAGCCAGCUUGACUGCGAGCGUGACGGCGCGAGCAGGUGCGAAAGCAGGUCAUAGUGAUCCGGUGGUUCUGAAUGGAAGGGCCAUCGCUCAACGGAUAAAAGGUACUCCGGGGAUAACAGGCUGAUACCGCCCAAGAGUUCAUAUCGACGGCGGUGUUUGGCACCUCGAUGUCGGCUCAUCACAUCCUGGGGCUGAAGUAGGUCCCAAGGGUAUGGCUGUUCGCCAUUUAAAGUGGUACGCGAGCUGGGUUUAGAACGUCGUGAGACAGUUCGGUCCCUAUCUGCCGUGGGCGCUGGAGAACUGAGGGGGGCUGCUCCUAGUACGAGAGGACCGGAGUGGACGCAUCACUGGUGUUCGGGUUGUCAUGCCAAUGGCACUGCCCGGUAGCUAAAUGCGGAAGAGAUAAGUGCUGAAAGCAUCUAAGCACGAAACUUGCCCCGAGAUGAGUUCUCCCUGACUCCUUGAGAGUCCUGAAGGAACGUUGAAGACGACGACGUUGAUAGGCCGGGUGUGUAAGCGCAGCGAUGCGUUGAGCUAACCGGUACUAAUGAACCGUGAGGCUUAACCUU
rnacentral:rRNA from 1 species